AUUUAAUUCAUUCCAUAUUUAAAAAAAAUAAACAAUUUAAAUUUUAAGUAGAUAUUUACUAAAACAUUUUUAAAAUUAGAAAUUAUUAUAUAUGAAACAAACUCAUUAGUAGUUUGUCUGAUGAUGAUAGCAUGCUUUGUAUAUUCAUUCAUAUUAGCAAGACACAAAUUAUUUGACCUUGAAACUUUUGCUCCUAGACUGUUUUUUGUAAAAUACUGUUUGCAGGCCAGAUGCAGCCUGUCUAGUUUUACACUAUAGCUCACAAAUCUAAUUUCAAAAAAAGAAAUAAAAUAUCUUAAGAUUAUUAAAUAUUUGUUAUAUAAUCAUUGCUUAUGAAUUUUUAUUGUAUUGAUUUAGAUUUUGGUCCACUAACCAAAACGACAAUCUAAAAUAUAAUGUCAUCAAUGAAAAGUAAAUAAAAUAUAUAUUCACAGAUAGUUUUCAAUUUAUGACAGGACUCAGUUUCAAACCCACUGUCAUAAGUCAGAACAAUUGGAAGUUGAAAAUGCCCAAAAUUUAUGAAUUUCUCAUUUCUGAUGUUUACUGGGACACUAUAUAUUAUCUUAAUAAACAUAAAGAACACAAAACUACAAAGAAUAAAAGAAAAAAGACACUUUCUAUUCAGGGACUUGAACUUAUUGAAUUGCAUUGACCCAACUGCAGAAUUAAUGGAUUUCACCACUAUCAUAAGUUGAGGACUACCUAUGUAUACUGUUUAUAAUAUAUCCCACAAAUGUUUUCAUUACUUAAUUUAGUUCACAUUUCAAAAAAAUUUGUUCAUCCCUAUUGUAGUCUCUUUAAGUUAAAAUUUUGGUACAAAUUAUAUUUCCUCAUAUAAAUGAUUUUUUUAAAUCAGGGUAAACCUGUAUUAUAUACAUUUGAAUUAGCUAUUAAUUGAUUCAUCUAUUAUUCUAUACACACACCAGUAUAGAUAGUAGCAAUAUUGAACUGAAAUUGUUAAAUAUAAU
rnacentral:lncRNA from 1 species